UCGAAUGUCAAUAUUCCUACCUCUGUAUAGAAUGACGUCCGAAUCGUGUUUGUAUGACGACGGCUAGUUGUCCGACGAUACAAAAAAAAAACCCUCUGUGUAAAACAUGGAAUUCGAUAAAAACCGCUGAGCGACGACGUGCAAAAUAUCCAAAAAAAAUGUCACGAGUAUGUUUUUUUAUUUUUAGAGUCUGAACGCAGUAAGGAAUGUAUUGGUUUUACUUUAAUGUGUAUGUGUUUUUUUUUAUAUAACAACUUUUCUAUCAGAAAUAUAAGACCAAUGAAAAAACUAGCUUUUUAUAGUAUUAUGGAUCUAGUUGGUGCAUUGG